rnacentral:rRNA from 1 species
AUGAUCGACACGCUCAAGGCGGCGCUUGCAGGGCGGCACUCACGGCCGAGCAGCGAACCCAGCUACCGACCAGAGGGAACCAAGGCCUCAUCAUUCACAUAUCUAGCUCUGACCAGGACAGCAAAGAGCGUGCUGUGGCCAAGAUCAAUUUUCUCAGCCUCACGGGUUUGUGAUCCUCUCCUGCGUGCACCUCAUCCAGCACUGGCUCUACUACUAUGUGGCAUCUGCCUUAUGUUUGCUUCUUGUGUCAGACUAUGUGGACCCCAAGCAGAAGACCGGCAGGGGAGCGGCCGCUCUGUCGAGCAGCAACAAGUCCAUGUAUACCUUGAUGAAUGUCGUGCAAGCGCUGAAUAG